rnacentral:rRNA from 1 species
GAUGAACGCUAGCGGCAGGCCUAAUACAUGCAAGUCGAACGAGAUUAAGAGGCUUGCUUCUUAUGAAAGUGGCGCACGGGUGCGUAACGCGUAUGCAACCUACCUUAAUCAGGGGGAUAGCCCGAAGAAAUUCGGAUUAAGACCGCAUAAAAACACAGGAUAGCAUUAUCCAAUGUUCAAAUAUUUAUAGGAUUAAGAUGGGCAUGCGUGUCAUUAGCUAGUUGGCGGGGUAACGGCCCACCAAGGCGACGAUGACUAGGGGAUCUGAGAGGAUGACCCCCCACACUGGUACUGAGACACGGACCAGACUCCUACGGGAGGCAGCAGUAAGGAAUAUUGGUCAAUGGAGGGAACUCUGAACCAGCCAUGCCGCGUGCAGGAAGACAGCCCUCUGGUCGUAAACUGCUUUUAUUCGGGAAUAAACCUUUCUACGUGUAGGAAGCUGAAUGUACCGAAGGAAUAAGAAUCGGCUAACUCCGUG